rnacentral:rRNA from 1 species
AGGACGAACGCUGGCGGCGUGCUUAACACAUGCAAGUCGAGCGGAAAGGCCCUUCGGGGUACUCGAGCGGCGAACGGGUGAGUAACACGUGGGCAACCUGCCCUUAGCUCUGGGAUAGCUCCGGGAAACCGGAAUUAAUACCGGAUAUGACCUAGGCCGACAUCGGCCGUGGUGGAAAGUUUUUCGGCUAGGGAUGGACUCGCGGCCUAUCAGCUAGUUGGUGGGGUAAUGGCCUACCAAGGCGACGACGGGUAGCCGGCCUGAGAGGGCGACCGGCCACACUGGGACUGAGACACGGCCCAGACUCCUACGGGAGGCAGCAGUGGGGAAUCUUGCGCAAUGGGCGAAAGCCUGAUCCAGCCAUGCCGCGUGAGUGAUGACGGCCUUAGGGUUGUAAAGCUCUUUCAUCAGGGACGAUAAUGACGGUACCUGAAGAAGAAGCCCGGCUAACUUCGCGCCAGCAGCCGC